rnacentral:rRNA from 1 species
UACGAAGGGGGCUAGCGUUGUUCGGAAUCACUGGGCGUAAAGGGAGCGUAGGCGGGUUUCUAAGUCAGGUGUUUAAUCCCGGGGCCCAACCCCGGACAGGCACUUGAAACUGGGAAUCUUGAAUAGGGGAGAGGUCGGUGGAAUUGGAGGUGUAGCGGUGGAAUGCGUAGAGAUCUCCAAGAACACCAGUUGCGAAGGCGGCCGACUGGACCCAUAUUGACGCUGAGGCUCGAAAGCAUGGGGAGCAAACAGG